UACGUAGGGGGCGAGCGUUGUCCGGAAUUACUGGGCGUAAAGGGCGCGUAGGCGGCCCGUUAAGUCCGUUGUGAAAGACCGAGGCUCAACCUCGGGGUGUCAACGGAGACUGAUGGGCUGGAGUAUCGGAGAGGAGCGGGGAAUCCCUGGUGUAGCGGUGGAAUGCGUAGAGAUCAGGGGGAACACCGAUGGCGAAGGCACCGCUCUGGCCGAAAACUGACGCUGAGGCGCGAAAGCUGGGGGAGCGAACGGG
rnacentral:rRNA from 1 species